rnacentral:rRNA from 1 species
AUUGAACGCUGGCGGCAGGCUUAACACAUGCAAGUCGAGCGGGGUGAUGGUGCUUGCACUAUCACUUAGCGGCGGACGGGUGAGUAAUGCUUAGGAAUCUGCCUAUUAGUGGGGGACAACAUCUCGAAAGGGAUGCUAAUACCGCAUACGUCCUACGGGAGAAAGCAGGGGAUCACUUGUGACCUUGCGCUAAUAGAUGAGCCUAAGUCGGAUUAGCUAGUUGGUGGGGUAAAGGCCUACCAAGGCGACGAUCUGUAGCGGUUCUGAGAGGAUGAUCCGCCACACUGGGACUGAGACACGGCCCAGACUCCUACGGGAGGCAGCAGUGGGGAAUAUUGGACAAUGGGGGGAACCCUGAUCCAGCCAUGCCGCGUGCGUGAAGAAGGCCUUAUGGUUGUAAAGCACUUUAAGCGAGGAGGAGGCUCUUUUGGUUAAUACCCAAGAUGAGUGGACGUUACUCGCAGAAUAAGCACCGGCUAACUCUGUGCCAGCAGCCGCGGUAA